rnacentral:rRNA from 2 species
UUUAAAUUGAGAGUUUGAUCCUGGCUCAGGACGAACGCUGGCGGCGUGCCUAACACAUGCAAGU